AGCACAGGACCACACACAGUCUCACUGAGUCAGUAGACAUGGAGGAUGGGAAGAUUGAUCUGCUGCUGGUCAAAGAGGAGACAGUAGAAGACGGACCAGAAAGCAUUGAUCUGCUGAGUGGACUAAAGAUGGGGGAGCAAGGUAAUUGACUCAAAUUCCAUUGGGCCCGUGGGACGACAUCACUGAGCAAGCCAGGACCAAAGGCAACAUAGUGGAGGUCAGUGGAUGGGACAGAGUCCUCAACURUUAACCACAGCUAGAAACAGACAGUCGAACACAAAACGACAACCGAACUUAGUCUCCAUGACAACAGGGUGAAGCACAGAUGUGGUCUGUGGGGACGGUAUACGGCGGGAGAGAACAGAUUUGGCUAGAGAUGUUUCGUCCUGCUCCUAUAAUUGUGAAUCAGAGAGACUGAUGGCACCUCAGGUUAAACCCCCUAACAGGUGCUGCCUUCAGGCUGCCUUCUAUAGGAUCUAUCAACUGGAACAUGGACCCUGUGACAACACAGGGUCUACGUCCUCACACUCUCCUAAUGUUAAACCAGACCUCAGAUAAUGCCUCAAGACUAAAUGGCUACACAAGCCCAUUGACAAAUGACAGUAGUAGAGAUGUAACCAGUAAAGUUGGCAGCGCCAAAGAGAAGCGCUUCCUGUGUUUGUUCUGUGGGAAAGCCUUCAGUUUCCCCAAACAGGCUGAGAUCCACCAGAGGRUCCACACAGGGGAGAAACCGUUCAGCUGCCCCCAGGGUUAAGAAAAGGUUCUCCCACCAGCACCAGAUGCACCUGAAGGUCCAUAAGUAAGAAAGGUUGUUUGCCUGUAUGCACAGCAUGUAAUGACAUGUAAUAUAGUACUAAUUAGUUUGUAGUUAAUUCUGUUGGUUUUGGAUGUAGUGAAAUGAGGAAAGAAAGAGUAUGAUGAGGCAGAGUACCUUAACACAGCGCGCCUCCAACCCGGAAGCC